rnacentral:rRNA from 1 species
AUUGAACGCUGGCGGCAGGUCUAACGCAUGCAAGUCGAGCGGAUGAAGGGAGCUUGCUCCUGGAUUCAGCGGCGGACGGGUGAGUAAUGCCUAGGAAUCUGCCUGGUAGUGGGGGAUAACGUCCGGAAACGGGCGCUAAUACCGCAUACGUCCUGAGGGAGAAAGUGGGGGAUCUUCGGACCUCACGCUAUCAGAUGAGCCUAGGUCGGAUUAGCUAGUUGGUGGGGUAAAGGCCUACCAAGGCGACGAUCCGUAACUGGUCUGAGAGGAUGAUCAGUCACACUGGAACUGAGACACGGUCCAGACUCCUACGGGAGGCAGCAGUGGGGAAUAUUGGACAAUGGGCGAAAGCCUGAUCCAGCCAUGCCGCGUGUGUGAAGAAGGUCUUCGGAUUGUAAAGCACUUUAAGUUGGGAGGAAGGGCAGUAAGUUAAUACCUUGCUGUUUUGACGUUACCAACAGAAUAAGCACCGGCUAACUUCGUG